rnacentral:lncRNA from 1 species
GGAAAUGGACUUACAUGCAUGAACAACCAUGGCCGAACCUUCAAAGCUUUGAGAACAUUAUUUUCUUUCUCACAUUUGGCUAUUGAUGAAGAUGAUAGCAUGUAAUUUGGCUUUUGUUUUAUUUUAUUUUAUUAUAAUUACCAAAUACCAUAUUUAACGUUAAUAUACAUUAAUAAUUUCCAUUAUACCAAGCCAUGUAAUU